AUUGAACGCUGGCGGCAGGCCUAACACAUGCAAGUCGAGCGGAUGAGUGGAGCUUGCUCCAUGAUUCAGCGGCGGACGGGUGAGUAAUGCCUAGGAAUCUGCCUGGUAGUGGGGGACAACGUUUCGAAAGGAACGCUAAUACCGCAUACGUCCUACGGGAGAAAAGUGGGGGGAUCUUCGGACCUCACGCUAUCAGAUGAGCCUAGGUCGGAUUAGCUAGUUGGUGAGGUAAAGGCUCACCAAGGCGACGAUCCGUAACUGGUCUGAGAGGAUGAUCAGUCACACUGGAACUGAGACACGGUCCAGACUCCUACGGGAGGCAGCAGUGGGGAAUAUUGGACAAUGGGCGAAAGCCUGAUCCAGCCAUGCCGCGUGUGUGAAGAAGGUCUUCGGAUUGUAAAGCACUUUAAGUUGGGAGGAAGGGCAGUAAGUUAAUACCUUGCUGUUUUGACGUUACCAACAGAAUAAGCACCGGCUAACUUCGUG
rnacentral:rRNA from 1 species